GCGCCGGUGCUGUAAUGAUGAGAGCAUUCCCUCCCGGUCAGCAGGAGCUGCGGGUUCGAGUCCCGCCUGGCGCU
rnacentral:tRNA from 1 species